AAGUCGUAACAAGGUUUCCGUAGGUGAACCUGCGGAAGGAUCAUUACUGAGAUAGGGUUCUUUUGAGCCCGACCUCCAACCCUUUGUUUAAACUACUUUGUUGCUUUGGCAGGCCCGCUCUUCGGGGCCGCUGGGGGCGUUUAGUCGCCUCUGGUCAGUGCCCUGCCAGUAGCCAAUUUAAAAUUCUUUUUUAACCAUGUCGUCUGAAUAGUAAUUAUAAAAUUUAAUUAAAA
rnacentral:misc_RNA from 1 species